CUCGGCCCCGUCCAGGCCAGUUCUGUGCAAAUCACCCAGAAGCCUCAUUUGCGUCCACACCAGCUCAUUUCCAUAUCCCCCAGCUCUGGGUGGCACAGCUGCCACUGGGCUGGCGGACAGCAGUCCCUUUUGUUUUCCCAUGCCAUCCAGGGAGUUGUUCUGUCACCCUUCAAAUAUGGGGGGGGAAGAAAAGAAAGAAAGCAAGUGAGAAAAAGAAAAGGAAAGGGGAAAAAACCCUCAAGACAAAGAGGCAGGCACCAUCUGGGCAACAGGAAGGGAAGAAAAUGCCACUGCCUGGAGUUUGGACCCUGGGGAAGCAGGCCACAGAGGGAGGGGCUUGGGGCUGGCUGGAGCAGAGGAUCUGGGAAUUGUCAGAACUGGCUCAAGUCCCAGCCUCGUCAUUUACUUGGCUCUGGGAUCGCGGGCAGGUGCCUGGGAGUCUCAUGCCUCUGUUUCCCCAUCUGGGACAUGGCACUCACACACCGGUGGCCUACGGUUGCUCGGAGAACCCCCAGGAGGCUAUGUGGACAUUGCCUGGCAUGCAAUCGUCCCUCAGAGCCUGCUGCCCUGAUCAUUCCUGCUGCAACCUCGGUUGGCAAAGGUACUGCCACGUCUGAGCUGGUGGCACUGCUUGACACACCCUCUUCUGUGGGACCAGCCGUGUCCACCCUGGCUCUGCCCUGUCCCUUUCAGUCUCUGGGCCUCAGUUUCUCCAAGGUGCUGGCACUCCAGCUCCAAAGGCUGGUGCCCUUCAGUUUUCCCCUCUUACUCCUGUGUUUAUCGAAUUUCAACAAAAGCCAAGGUAGAGUGAUGAUGAUGAUAUGAAUAUGUUUUUAGAUUUUUGUGGGAACAUAGUAGGUAUAUAUACUUAUGGAGUACGUGAGCUAUUUUGAUACAGACAUGCAAUACCCAAUAAUCACAUCAGGGUAAAUGGGGCAUCCAUCCCCUCAAGCAUUUAUUCUUUAUGUUACAAACAGCCCAAUUAUACCCCUUUAGUUGUUUUAAAAUGUACAAUUAAAUUGUUACUGACUGUAGUCACCCAGAGGUGCU
rnacentral:lncRNA from 13 species